rnacentral:rRNA from 1 species
GAUGAACGCUGGCGGCGUGCCUAAUACAUGCAAGUCGAGCGAAUAGAUGAGGAGCUUGCUCCUCUGACGUUAGCGGCGGACGGGUGAGUAACACGUGGAUAACCUACCUAUAAGACUGGGAUAACUUCGGGAAACCGGAGCUAAUACCGGAUAAUAUAUUGAACCGCAUGGUUCAAUAGUGAAAGACGGUUUUGCUGUCACUUAUAGAUGGAUCCGCGCCGCAUUAGCUAGUUGGUAAGGUAACGGCUUACCAAGGCAACGAUGCGUAGCCGACCUGAGAGGGUGAUCGGCCACACUGGAACUGAGACACGGUCCAGACUCCUACGGGAGGCAGCAGUAGGGAAUCUUCCGCAAUGGGCGAAAGCUUGACGGAGCAACGCCGCGUGAGUGAUGAAGGUCUUCGGAUCGUAAAACUCUGUUAUUAGGGAAGAACAAAUGUGUAAGUAACUAUGCACGUCUUGACGGUACCUAAUCAGAAAGCCACGGCUAACUACGUG